GCUAAGAACCCAAAGGGACCAAGGAA
rnacentral:piRNA from 1 species